rnacentral:tRNA from 1 species
GCCCGGCUAGCUCAGUCGGUAGAGCAUGAGACACUUGAUCUCAGGGUCGUGGGUUCGAGCCCCACGGUGAACG